rnacentral:rRNA from 1 species
UACGAAGGUCCCAAGCGUUGUUCGGAAUCACUGGGCGUAAAGGGAGCGUAGGCGGCGUGGUAAGUCAGAUGUGAAAUCCCGGGGCUCAACCCCGGAACUGCAUCCGAUACUGCCAUGCUUGAGGGUUGGAGAGGUAGCUGGAAUUCUCGGUGUAGCAGUAGAAAUGCGUGGAUAUCGAGAGGAACACUCGUGGCGAAGGCGAGCUACUGGACAACAUCUGACGCUGAGGCUCGAAGGCUAGGGUAGCGAAAGGG